rnacentral:lncRNA from 10 species
GUCUCAGCAAAGGGAACCAUGGGAAAGAUUUCCCCCUGACGAGGAGGGAGUCUCCCGACCCGUUCUUUCCCUCCUGGACGUGCCAGGGUCAAACAGAAACAUCUAUGGUCCCGGUAAGGGUGCCACGCCCGGUCCACCAGACACAGACAUCAAAUAGCCUUACCUUGGUGAGAUUCAAGGCUGUCUGCUCCGAGAGGGACUUACUGGCAAACAGCCCAAGCAGAAGAACAUCAGCAAGGGGGACCAAGGAAGAUGUGUCUGCUCACCACGGGGCUUGCUGUGGAUGUCAUGAAGAGGCUUGGCAGCGUUGAAGACAAUAAAGCAUGCUUUCCUGGAAGAAACAAUGCUGGAUUAAGGACUAAAACAUGGUCACUUUUUUCACCACGAGGAAGACCUGUCCUUGUUAAAAAUGUACUGGCUUCAGACACAUGGAAGAGAGUCUGAGAAUGUUUUGAGUAGGAAUGUUGCUGGAGAUAAAUUAUGGGCUAAGAAAUCAGCUGACUGAGUCGACCGUAUAGAUUUUCCCAGGUCACAUUACUUUUCCAUUUGUAUUCUCAAUCGCUUUUGAACACCCUUCAUGCAAGUCAGCAUAUCAAAAGAUGAUUUUAUACAAGGAUUACCGAUUUCAAAUAAAUAAAGAACCAAAAGAAAUAGAUUUCAAUUGCAUCCAGACUGGUUGGAGAUAAAAUGAGGAGUGCUACAACUCGCUGGGCCAGCACAGACAGGAGCCCUGGGAGCGCUCUCCUCUGAGAUCGAUGAAGUGAGAAUAGGCCCCAGUAAAGCAGUGGAGAAAACUGUCUUCCUGAGCCCCCUCUAGCCCAAGGAUUCCAGCUAUUCUUUGCACUCAGCCCCCAUGGGGUUAAUGAUGAAUUAUUACAAACAAUGAAGACAUUUAAGGCUGAAGACUAAGCCAUGAUUUGCUGUUCUCUGCCUGUUCACCCCCAACUAUUUCUAAUCCCACUAUUUCCUGAUGAGAACACACACUUAACCAGAUAUUCUACUUCAUUUUUGGAAAAUCUCUUGAAGUUGCUUUGGAUGAGCUGAGGAAAUGACAUCAUCACCCCUUGCUGGCUGCAGGAGUGACUGAGCCCUUGGGUUUGGGUGGGGUUGGGCUGCUGGUGAACGCAGAAGGUGUGGCGCUGCCGAGAGAACUGGACCCCAGAACCGCUCUGUUCUCCAAGUCAGAGUGACAUUCACUCCUCAGGUGCCAAUGAGUUACAGAGGAGUCAUGUCAAACUCACAUUUAACUCGUGUGUGUCCACAAAGCAGAGUGAGGGAUAGUGAAAAUCGGUCCAGCGAUCCUGCCAACGCUUGCAAGCGAUGACCAUGGAGACUGGGGUGAAAAUGAGAAUCUGCCAGGUCCUCAGUCGGUCCCAGUUCCCACGUGUUGAGUGUGUUUCCAGUGCCCAAAGGUACAUGCUUUCCGAUUACACGUAUCUGAACAUAACCUUCUUCCUCCUCUACAGAAAGAGCUGCUGUCCAUUCCAGUGGUAAGGGAGAGGGGACACCUGGCCAGGGUGACAGACGGUCAGCACUGUGCCUUUGUAUCAGGAAAGGCCACCACACCUGGACGGACCGGUCAGCAAAUGGUGCCAGCUCUGGCUCAUGAGAUUAGAGGAGGUGUCACCUCUGCCCAGGUCACUCAGAAAAAAGCCCCCUCUGGGCACCUACAGCCCCAGCACAGCUUCAAAUGCAGACAGGUCUUCAUGUAAAGAAAGACUUCUACCUACUUGUGUGGCCAUGUCCCCACCGAGGCCCGGCCUGGCUGGGAGCAGACUGGAUUUCAGUUCCAGUUGUCACUCUGCAUGGCUGCCCUGAACUCGGCUGUGUCAGACUCACUGAGCAGUGGUACACGGGGCCCCACACAGGCCUUCCAGGGACUUCAAGAGCCAUUCUCCUAUACAUGCUUUACGUCGUAUGCCUUGUCUUCAGACCAGGUCACCAGGUGCAAUGGGAUUCUGGUCGAUCCAGUUCUGGUUCAGUUCUGGUUCUGGCGAUGAGGGUUUGCUCUGACAAGAACAAGAACCAGAAACAAGGGCACCUCUUUCCAGUGUUACUAAAACAAGUAAACUGUCAGGAGGGCAGGCUUUGUUUGAAGCUUUUCAUAACAUAAAUACAAGUGAUAUCUUGGUUUCAAAGUGACAACUCUAAACCCUAGGCAAUAAAAUGCAGUAGAUUGGUCCAUUUUUUUCUUCUGAAGGAUGCUAUCAUUUGCCCUCUGUCAGUGCUAGGAGAGGGAAUGCAUUCCGUUUUCCUGGGUGGAAGCUGGAAGAUGUAAAUGUCGAAGGCUGUAGUGGACACAGGCUGUUUUGCCUGCACAGCAUCUGUUCCUUCUGAGACCAGCAUACCUGAUUGUCCCCUGGGAGUCCCCUCUCCUCCACAUGUUCUGGACAAGGCUGACCUCACUGUCAUUUCAGGGGGGCUGGGGAUGGGGGACUAUGACAGAGACCUAAGCCAGUCAGCAUAUUCUGCACUCCCAGACACAGAAAAUGACUCAUGGAAGGUGCAUGGAUAAAUGUGAGCCAAUGUGAGUCCUGCCCAGCCCCAGCAUGGGAAGUGAUAAGAGAAAGAAGCUCCCUCUUUUCCACAGAGGCUGCUGAGGGCAGAGGAUGCAACACUAGAAGCAUGACAGCCACCUUGGCACCAGGAGGAGGCUAACAAAAGAGGGCAGGGUCAAACGCAGAGAUUCCCACUGACAUCAUGUGAGCACCUGGACCAAACCAGUUCUGAAGCAGUUUCCCCUAGAGCUUCCAUUGCAAGAGAUGAAAAAGAAACACAUGGCUUUCUUGGCUAAAGUUAUCUUGAAUUGGGUUUUCUGUCAUGCAAUCAAUAGGGUCCUAACAACUGAGGGACUCAACGUCAGAAGCGGAACGAGGGCAGGCAGCGUCUGGAACUCAGGCCUUUCUCUCCUGGUCCUGACAUCCGCUGUGCUGGGUCCCAAUGAAGCAGCAGCCACAUGUUUGUUCAUUAGGACACAUCUCACGCCUGCAGUGCUGAUAGCUGCAACGGGAGAGUGGG